AUUGAACGCUGGCGGCAGGCUUAACACAUGCAAGUCGAGCGGAGAUGAGGUGCUUGCACCUUAUCUUAGCGGCGGACGGGUGAGUAAUGCUUAGGAAUCUGCCUAUUAGUGGGGGACAACAUUCCGAAAGGAAUGCUAAUACCGCAUACGCCCUACGGGGGAAAGCAGGGGAUCUUCGGACAUUGCGCUAAUAGAUGAGCCUAAGUCGGAUUAGCUAGUUGGUGGGGUAAAGGCCUACCAAGGCGACGAUCUGUAGCGGGUCUGAGCGGAUGAUCCGCCACACUGGGACUGAGACACGGCCCAGACUCCUACGGGAGGCAGCAGUGGGGAAUAUUGGACAAUGGGCGGAAGCCUGAUCCAGCCAUGCCGCGUGUGUGAAGAAGGCCUUUUGGUUGUAAAGCACUUUAAGCGAGGAGGAGGCUACCUGGAUUAAUACUCUAGGAUAGUGGACGUUACUCGCAGAAUAAGCACCGGCUAACUCUGUGCCAGCCGCCGCCGUAAAAC
rnacentral:rRNA from 1 species